UGGGAGUGGCUGCCAUCUCUGUUACGUCUCCGAGCUUGCUUGUGGCGUGUGUAGAUGUUAGUCUCUAUCUGAAGUAGUGUGGACUCGGUGGACGGUGGUGUGGCACUCUUGAUCGUCGGCUCUCUCUCCUUAUGGCAUCUAUGUGGCAGGUUCGCUGAGGUGAGGUUUGUUGGAUUCUUUGUCAAGGGUAAGGCCUUAGUUUGGCUUCCAGCUCUCUAGUUUACUUGGUGGAUGCUUCUCGGAGAAGGUGUGCCCGUCUGGUCCCCUUACUCUAUACGAGUCUCAGGUUAAAUGGGUGUAAGGUCGGAGGCAGCAGUCUUCAGCUACUGUCUUUGAACGACGGCAUCGUCAUUUGGGAUCCUUCUCGUGCUGCCGGGUUGGUAUUUGUCCGGUAAUUUAGUGUGUCCGGGACUGAUUCUUGGGACAGGUUGUGGCAUGUGGGCUAAUUGGAAGCUGCAGGAGCCGUGUGUUUCAAGGUUUGAGGGCGUCUUUCUCUCCGGUAGCUCGUGGCGACUGAUUGUUCAUUCCGUUCAUGCUUCGUCAUUUGGUCUUUCGGUGCUGCGUUAAGGUUUAUGCCUAAGUUGGAGUCCAUCCUUCUUCUGCUUUAGUUAAUUUGUUCCUUAGGUCCUUGUGUUAGCUUAAUUUUGUGCAUUCUGCUACUUGUCUCUGUGUAAUGUUUGUCAAAAAUUUUAUAUCUUGGUAUAAAAUUUAACAUUUUACCAAAAAAAAAAAAAAAAUCCAUCAGGAACAAAAUUUACAGUAUCAAAGUUUGGGAAGAGGUUAAGCAAUGUGUCAAGAGCAUCAGGAUGGAACUUCCUUGCAAACAGAUAACAAGGCCGUGUAAUCCCGUUCCAUGUACAUGGCCAAUGCAGCUCAUCUCCAUGCUUCAAAACCCACAAGUUCAAAAGUAUAAAGAAAGAGAGAGAUGUAGAGUGGCCACAAAAGAGAGAGAUCUGCUAGAGAAUAUACCUCUCCCACACUUGUGCCGUGUAUACUCAUCUCUUCAGUCUGACACAAGGUCACAAGGGAGAACCGAGAAAAAAAGUAGAAUUAAGAAGCUCAUUAUUAUAACAGUUUUGAAGAACAUAACGUUCGAAACCAUACCGUGACAUUUUUCAUGAAAUCUAGUGAUAUCUCAUUUGCUGUGCAAGUCUUUGGAUACCACCUUCGUUCAGACCAAUCAACAUACGUCGCUGACCAGUUCGAGAUCCCCAUAGGAUCAAUCAUCUGAAAAGAAGAUCCAGCAAAUAAAAAAUGUUUCAGCAUUAAGAAGAGUGUAGAAGAUGAUUAAGAAGAGCAUAUCCUCACACUGAAGAAUGUUGGCAACUAAUGUUCAUCUGCAAUACAGUCCUUGUAAGCCUCUAUCCCUGGCUGAAAAAAUCAUAAGAACUUUCUUGUCAUAAUCAGAACUCAGAGAACUGAAAAACCAAAACUCUAUUCAGCUGCAGGACAAAAACUUACUCCACAACACUCACGGAACUUUGAGUAGUAGAGACUAUCAGCCAUCACUGAUUCACUAUAACCGCGUGUUGUCGCUUCAUUGUGAACCACUGGGCCCAGAAGAAAAAGACACCACAAAAAAAAAGACAACAAACAGUGAACAGCAGUAACUCUCUUAGAGACUAAGGCUUGUCUUUACCUGAGCACCCUUUCUAAAAUCUUCCCUAGCAAUCUCAGGUAACAUGUGUUCUAUGUGUCUACCAGUUCCAUGAGGACCAGGAUCCACAAAACUUGAGAAACAGAGAUAAUUGUAGCUUGUGUCAAUGAACAUCUAAUUAAACAAAAACUCUUUAUUUCCGCCUCGUGUCGUCUCCCUCUCAGUGUGGCGCGUGGCUGGGUUCGGAGUGGUACUUGUCGUGGAUCUAGGGUUUGAGAUCCGUGGGUCUCUUGGUUCUUCCUCCUGCUUUAGUGACCUCCGGUGGUCUCCGAAGGUAACGUGUUGGGUCCGUGUGAGGAUAUGAGUCUUCGUUGAUCUCUCUCUUGCGGUGGUCCAGUGGCAGCGUGGGAGUGGCUGCCAUCUCUGUUACGUCUCCGAGCUUGCUUGUGGCGUGUGUAGAUGUUAGUCUCUAUCUGAAGUAGUGUGGACUCGGUGGACGGUGGUGUGGCACUCUUGAUCGUCGGCUCUCUCUCCUUAUGGCAUCUAUGUGGCAGGUUCGCUGAGGUGAGGUUUGUUGGAUUCUUUGUCAAGGGUAAGGCCUUAGUUUGGCUUCCAGCUCUCUAGUUUACUUGGUGGAUGCUUCUCGGAGAAGGUGUGCCCGUCUGGUCCCCUUACUCUAUACGAGUCUCAGGUUAAAUGGGUGUAAGGUCGGAGGCAGCAGUCUUCAGCUACUGUCUUUGAACGACGGCAUCGUCAUUUGGGAUCCUUCUCGUGCUGCCGGGUUGGUAUUUGUCCGGUAAUUUAGUGUGUCCGGGACUGAUUCUUGGGACA
rnacentral:lncRNA from 1 species